GGAGUGAGGUAAUCUGGUUUUGACAUAUGUCACUCCCUUGUCAGGGAUGAUUUUAUCUGACUUAGCUGGUUGGAAAGGUGGCACCUUCCUCCCUCACUGAUCUACGUGUGGACUGCCUCACACCGUACGCUAAGGCGAAAAUGUUGAUCUUCUAAGCUCUGUCUGGACUUUCUUUGGUCAAAGGUAUCUGAACAGCUGGGUUAUUUUAAUAGAAACCCUGGAGAUGGAAUUGCAGUUUGAGGCAGCCCCAAUACAUAUUUUUUAGCUGAGAGGAGACUUUAGCAUGCGGAGUGUGCUGUCAUGGAGAAGCCAGUGAUGAAAUGUCUUGGUUU
ensembl:misc_RNA 7SK 7SK RNA